GCCGGACGCGGUGGCGCGCGCCUGUAGUCCCAGCUACUCGGGAGGCUGAGAUGGGAGGAUCGCUUGAGCCCAGGAGUUCUGGGCUGUAGUGCGCUAUGCCGAUCGGGUGUCCGCACUAAGUUCGGCAUCAAUAUGGUGACCUCCCGGGAGCGGGGGACCACCAGGUUGCCUAAGGAGGGGUGAACCGGCCCAGGUCGGAAACGGAGCAGGUCAAAACUCCCGUGCUGAUCAGUAGUGGGAUCGCGCCUGUGAAUAGUCACUGCACUCCAGCCUGGGCAACAAAAUGAGACUCUGUCUCA
rnacentral:SRP_RNA from 1 species